ACCACCGUGGGCUACGACAGCUACCAGAAUGCCAUUCUGGAUCUGAAAAAUGGCCGUGUUGAUGCGGUGUUCGGCGAUACCGCCGUGGUU
rnacentral:tRNA from 1 species